GAUAAAAAUAAGCUAAAUACACUUGAUCACUUCAAAUCUCUACCUAGUAAAAGUAUAUCAAGUAUCACAUUGAAGAAGAAUGAUAGUAGUCAACAAAAUAUUAUAGGCUGUAUCAAUUUAGAAUUUAAAGGAAUAUCUCAAUUAAUAUUCACACCAAGGGGUAAAAAAAAUAGUGAUAACAAACAAAAAAAUACACUAAGUCACAACAAAUCACUAUCUAAUAA